UGAAGGGCCAGAAGCUGAUCCAUAGACCUCACGGUCACGGCCGGCUGCGACAGAGCUUGGGCGCGAACCCAGAGUCUCACAGCUAGCACUGCGAUGUGGUGCCCUAGACCACUGCACCACCCGGGAGGCCCCACCUCAUUAUGUUUAUAUAUUUGAACAACUAUUUGUGAAACGUAAUUUAUGGAAACUGACAUUAUUUGUUGCUUAUUUUCUACUUCUUAGACAUAUAAUGUCCAGAGUAUUACCUAGCCUGGUGGAACCAGCCUGAUCGCUGUGUUCACCAUUCUAUUUCACUUCACAUUUUAUAAUAUCUGAAGUGAAAUAGGAAAGGUGAAUUCAGCGAUCAGGUUGGUUCACCAGGCUAAUCACAACCACCAUUGAUCAUGUAAUAUGUGUGUGUGUGUGUGUGUGUGUGAGUGACUAGUAUCUUUGAUGAAGGGCCAGAAGCUGAUCUACACCGCUAUGGGGCUCUGGCACAGAACCUCACCUCCAGCCUCACCACUUGCCUGCACGUCGAUGGGGAGAAAACAAUUAGAAACAUGUAUGGAGCCAGCACAUGGAGACUUGCAAGAUGAUGUGAUGAAGUCCAGACUGGCAGACGGGCUUGAUACUGAUGUCUCUGAAUGAAGAUAGACCUGGCACUCUGCAUAAAAAAUGUAUUAGACACAACUUUUACUUGUAUUGUCUUUUUAUUAUUGAAUUGAAUGGUAUCAGUCAAUAUGGGGAAGGAGAAUCCCUGUGUAUUCUGCAACAGGAUCAGGGAACUCCUGUUGUAUACGGAACACCGCACAGGAAGGUAUGAAUACUCUCCUGCAACCCGCCUCACCCAAUGUGGUGUGGAUUUGUUUUUUUUCUAAAGUAUUUCUAUUUACCUCCAAACUGGAAUAACUCAAUUGAAGCUAGCUAGCUAUCCAGCUAUCAGCUAUCAGUCAGCUAACCACUGCUAGUGGUCAUCAGCUAACCUUUAGCUCAGAAAGCACUCGCCAGUUCGUACAACGCGUUUCAAAUGAGCAUACCGGACCUAUUUUUCUCUCCAUAUCUCCGGAUUCCUAUGUCACGCCCUGGCCAUAGAGAGGCUUUUUAUUCUCUAUUUUGAUUAGGCCAGGGUGUGACUGGGGUGGGCGUUCUAUGUUCUUCAUUCUAUGUUUUGUAUUUCUGGUUUUGGCCUGGUAUGGUUCCCAAUCAGAGACAGCUGUCAAUCGUCUCUGAUUGAGAACCAUAGUUAGGCAGCCUGUUUUCCCACUAUGGGUUGUGGGUAGUUAUUUUCUGUUUAGUGUGUUUUGCACCUGACGGAGCUGUUUCGGUUGUUUCUUUUGGGCCUUGUUGUAGUUAGUGUUCAGUUUAUUAAAAAUAAUGAUGAACACUUA